ACACUCAAAAAGUUAAUCAAAUAUGGAUACUUCUGAUACAAGCUGCGCAGGUGUAUUUCAAAAUUUAGACGUAAGUAAAACGAAUUGUACAUUAUUUUCAACAAAACAUACUGGUUUAUGAUAAAGUUCACCUAUAAAAUUCAAAGAGAAGCUUUAAAAAUAGUUUUUUUUUCAAAUUUCACCUUACUGUUAAGUUUGAUCUUAUUGUUAGGUGAAUUCUCACUUUUUCUAGAAUUUUUUUUCUAUAAUAAUAAAUAACAUCCGGUUAUAUAGUUAUUGCACAAAUGUGUCGAAGGAAGUUUUUUUGGAAAUGAGUAGUGUGUGUACUUUUACAAAAUCGAGAAAAGCUUUUAUCUAAAAAAGUAAAGUUCAAACGUUUCAAAUAAAUUGUUGCAAUAAGUGACGAUUUUUUUUAAAACAUAAAAACAGAGACAAUAAUAACUUGUAAACACGAGGUAUUUAAUUGCAAUUUGCAAUCUUGCAAUCCUGUAUUGUUUCUGCGUAAAGCAAUCAGUAGAAUGAAAGGAAAAUUCGAAAAAAGACAACAAUAUCAUUUUAUUUUCAGAACAAUAGUCUCAGUAUACAAGUGUUUAACAAUCAAAUAAUCGUCUACAAUAUUUUGGAAAAUGUAAGAGGAGAUAUAAACGACCGAUUGAAGUUGCGUGUAAGUCAUUUCGAUAACCAUUUGUGUAUUUUUCUUUAAUUAAUAACAACCAUACAUUUGUGAUUUUGAAAAACUGAUUUUUGGAAGAUUUCACAAAAAGAAAGCAAUGUUGAGACGCAGUUCAUUGAUAAUUUAAAUUAAAGCUUCGGAAUAAUUAUGGUACAGUGUUCGUCAAAAACGUAUCCUUGAUCGUUAAUUUUUUUUUGAAAAAUUUGCAUAAUAUUGCGGGCGAAUGGAACAGUAAUCGAGGUUUUGGGGUAUGGCGAUAAUGCUAGGAUCAUGGAGUCAUCCUCGGCCGGCUCUCAGCCCAUCUAACAACAUUACGAAUUAUAUACCGUGAAAUUGCAGAAAUAUCAAGCAACUAUAAGAUAUCACCUUUUUGGUCUCUACUUUAUCAUUAAUAAGGGAAACGAUGAUGUUGCUGGAACUACCAUGUAGGCGUUCAAACGCCUGCCUGCCUGCCUGACUAUAAACUCCGCCUGCCGUCCCGUCGCCUGUUUCUCGCCUCAACCCGCGUCCUAUGUUGAACCAUUCUUAAUUUGAUUUUCAUCAAAUUUAUAGAAAUGAGAAUAUUCGAAAUUUGUGAAUUCCCGUAAAAAUGCAGCCGGUGUGAAGUGAGCAGAUUUCAGGCAGGCCCAGAAUCCGCGUCUGCCUACCAAAGAAGCCCUAGUUGACGCGUAUGUAAAAAGACAAAUUUGAUUUAUCAAUAAAUAUAAUUACCCGAACUAUUCCGUCGCACCCUGUCUAAAAUCAUUCAAACUAAGACUAACCAGUUUUCAGUUAGUCAACAAAUCAUUCAAUUUGGCAACCAUUCACGCUAUUCGAAAAGAGCACCGAACAGUUGAAUUUCACAAGACUACACGUUGUAAUGAUCGUAGAAGAUUAGACCCUAGAGACCCUAGAAAUAAUAGAACUGAGCCAUGUCAAAAUUGUUCGGUCUACUUAAAUUCGGAAAAGCUCAAUGCGAAAAAUUUAUUUAGCUAUGCUUGGUAAGAAUAAACAUUCCGUAACAAAAAGUGCGUUUUGGUCUAUACUGCAGGUUCUUGAAACAAACAAUGAGGAUCAUGGUAGUUAAAAUAAUAAUCGGAGACUCCGGAUCAUAUUGUUUUAAUGUUCAUAAUGUUGUUCAAGAAGCAUUGGUAGAUCCCGAUUGUAAGUUUUGUUUAUCCAUCGUUAUAAAAAAUAGUGGAAAUGCUUUAAUAUUCAGUUGAAAAAGUGGAAGAAUUCGUUGGUGCUGAUAAUUUGAAUUGUUUUGGAUGUGAAGUAUGUGAAGAUAUAGCUUUAAAUUGCAAAGUAUAUGGACCAGUUCAAAUUAAUAGUUUUCGACCUAUAAUGAGACAGAAGCAUCAUUUUGAUGUUUUACAGAUCAAAGACAGG
rnacentral:sRNA from 1 species